AGCGAACGCUGGCGGCAGGCCUAACACACGCAAGUCGAACGAAGUCUUCGGACUUAGUGGCGGACGGGUGAGUAACACGUGGGAACGUGCCUUUAGGUUCGGAAUAACUCAGGGAAACUUGUGCUAAUACCGAAUGUGCCCUUCGGGGGAAAGAUUUAUCGCCUUUAGAGCGGCCCGCGUCUGAUUAGCUAGUUGGUGAGGUAAAGGCUCACCAAGGCUACGAUCAGUAGCUGGUCUGAGAGGAUGACCAGCCACAUUGGGACUGAGACACGGCCCAAACUCCUACGGGAGGCAGCAGUGGGGAAUCUUGCGCAAUGGGCGAAAGCCUGACGCAGCCAUGCCGCGUGGAUGAUGAAGGUCUUAGGAUUGUAAAAUCCUUUCCCCGGUGAAGAUAAUGACUGUAGCCGGAGAAGAAGCCCCGGCUAACUUCGUGCCAGCAGCCGCCGUAACAC
rnacentral:rRNA from 1 species